AGCGAACGCUGGCGGCAGGCUUAACACAUGCAAGUCGAACGGUCCUUCGGGACAGUGGCGGACGGGUGAGUAACACGUGGAACGUACCCUUAGGUUCGGAACAACACAGGGAAACUUGUGCUAAUACCGGAUAAGCCCUUCGGGGGAAAGAUUUAUCGCCUUUGGAGCGGCCCGCGUCUGAUUAGCUUGUUGGUGAGGUAAUGGCUCACCAAGGCUACGAUCAGUAGCUGGUCUGAGAGGAUGGCCAGCCACACUGGGACUGAGACACGGCCCAGACUCCUACGGGAGGCAGCAGUGGGGAAUCUUGCGCAAUGGGCGAAAGCCUGACGCAGCCAUGCCGCGUGGAUGAUGAAGGUCUUAGGAUUGUAAAAUCCUUUCACCGGGGACGAUAAUGACGGUACCCGGAGAAGAAGCCCCGGCUAACUUCGUGCCAGCAGCCGCCGUAA
rnacentral:rRNA from 1 species